UUUGUUUCAUUGUUUCUCCAAGUCCAAGAAGCCAGACAUGGGUGGGGAGAGUGGUUUUCGUGGUUCUCGAAACUUUUUGCCAAGACUUUAACUCUAUCACUCAUCUUCUCCCAAAACUACUCCCUGAAGAGCCAUGAUUGCUAGCCAUCCUUAUCUUGACGGACCCAAAUCUACUGAUUUGGUGAAGAAAAAGCCUGGAAGAUUUUAGUACCAGUUGGCAUGCAAACUGAAGAGCUGACUUGUAUUGUUCUAUAAAGCAAGGACUUUUGAUAGGAACAAACUCUCUCAUUAGCAAUUUUGUCUUAUGUAAGAUGAAAAUUUGAACUGACACCAUAAAGGACUACAUCGGAGAGAUUAUUCCUGACUGGAAUCAGAAGCUUGCUGGAUAUGUUGCUGUGCUUAUGUCAACACCACUGAAGACAUCCAUCAGAGGAGAAUCUUCAUUAUAAAGUGACCUUGACCACAUUAGAUGUUUUGGAAAAUAACAUCAAGGGAAAUCAGAAUAGAUACUGCAGAGGAUCCAUCAGGUACUCUGCUUCGUUUCUUCCUGCUUUGG